rnacentral:rRNA from 1 species
UCGAACGGCAGCACGGAGCCUUGCUCUGGUGGCGAGUGGCGAACGGGUGAGUAAUAUAUCGGAACGUACCCUAGAGUGGGGGAUAACGUAGCGAAAGUUACGCUAAUACCGCAUACGAUCUAAGGAUGAAAGUGGGGGAUCGCAAGACCUCAUGCUCGUGGAGCGGCCGAUAUCUGAUUAGCUAGUUGGUAGGGUAAAAGCCUACCAAGGCAUCGAUCAGUAGCUGGUCUGAGAGGACGACCAGCCACACUGGAACUGAGACACGGUCCAGACUCCUACGGGAGGCAGCAGUGGGGAAUUUUGGACAAUGGGCGAAAGCCUGAUCCAGCAAUGCCGCGUGAGUGAAGAAGGCCUUCGGGUUGUAAAGCUCUUUUGUCAGGGAAGAAACGGUGGGAGCUAAUAUCUCUUGCUAAUGACGGUACCUGAAGAAUAAGCACCGGCUAACUACGUGCCAGCAGCCGCGGUAAU